AUUGAACGCUGGCGGCAGGCCUAACACAUGCAAGUCGAACGAGUGGCGGACGGGUGAGUAAUGUCUGAGAAACUGCCUGAUGGAGGGGGAUAACUCCUGGAAACGGUAGCUACUACCGCAUACCAUCAAAUGUGCCCAUAUGGAACUCGCUUGUUGGUGGGGUAACGGCUCACCAAGGCGCCGAUCCCUAGCUGGUCCGAGAGGAUGACCAGCCACACUGGAACUGAGACACGGUCCAAACUCCUACGGGAGGCAGCAGUAGGGAAUAUUGCACAAUGGGCGCAAGCCUGAUGCAGCAAUGCCGCGUGGAUGAAGAAGGCCUUCGGGUUGUAAAGGACUUUCAGCAGGGAGGCGUUACCCGAAGAAGAAGCACCGGCUAACUACGUGCCAGCAGCCGCGGUAAUAC
rnacentral:rRNA from 1 species